GCCCAGGUGGCGAAAUGGCAGACGCGCUAGCUUGAGGGGCUAGUGGGAGCAAUCCCGUGGAGGUUCGAGUCCUCUCCUGGGCA
rnacentral:tRNA from 1 species